rnacentral:lncRNA from 1 species
CCAAUAAUUAUGUCAUUAUUACAUACUUAAAUCAAAUACAAUACUAAUACCAUGUUAAUGAGAACUAUCAAAUGGUCGAAUUUCUCUUCUUCUUCUUUUUUCGUUAUUUCUGGAUAAAAUAUACCCUCAACUAUUUAUUAUUGAUUGGACAAUUUUGAUUUUUGAGCCAAGCUAUCAUUUAAAUUCUUAGUUAUGACAAAUUAUGAAACCCAUAAGUUAAGUUAAAGCAUGAAUCUUCAUCACGAUGAAUAAAAUCAUUCAUAAUGUGAGGUUAAUUAGUAUAUCACUUUCAUCUUGCUAGUUGCCAUCCCAACACUCAAAUCAUACGGGCAUGCCCAAAUUCUAAGGCUCUAAAUUAAAUAAAGAAUAAAGGAAAUGAAACUGACCCAUGUAAGCAUUCUAUUGCAUGUGAAUCAAUUGUUAACCUUUCAUUUUAAUUGAUUCUUUCCCUUUGCAAGUAGAAAAGAAAAUUCUAGAAAAAGGAAAAUUAAAAUCAUGUGAUUUAAAAAAAAAAAAUCCUAACCCUAGCUUUUAAGCCAAAAUAAAAAAAAAAAAAUCCAAACUCGUGCCAACGGAGCACAUGUGUUGCACAUGCAAGUCAAAAAGGGUCCAGUACUAGAUGGUCAUCGAUAUCGCUUUAAUACUAAGUAACAAAAUUGGUGGAUCGUAUUAAAACAUUGAUUUAUAAGUUGCACACAAAUUAAAAAAAUUGUAAUAAAAUCUUUGGUUGGUUGAAAUGUUACUGGCAAUAAUUGUUCCGUUGAACAUUCCGAUCGCUAAUUCAAGGGUCUAGUUACGUUGCAACUGUGGUAUGGUACUAUAAUUGUUUUCAGCUAUUGAAUCAAGCUAAUACAAUUAUACAACUGUAGAUCCAAUGACUGAUUGUAAUUGUGGUACCAUACCACAGUUACAACAUAAUUUUGCCCCCAAUUCAAUCACUUAUACAUUUGAUUUAAAAAUCAUUAAAUUGUUCAAUGAAAUAAGUAGGAUAAAUAAAUGACAUGGCAAUAAAAUAGGAUCCUCUCUUUUUUUUUACUCUCUUUUAGAUUUCUAUGGCCAAAAGAAACUAUUAUUUAUUUUUAUGAUAACAUUAAAAUUACAUGAUUAAAUAGAGCUUGCAUCUUAAUUGACGUAAUAUCAAUUAACUACUAUAACCUAUUAGAUUAUUAUUGAUUUUUCCAUACAAUCACUGAGUAACACAUCAAAUGUCACGUUAGUUGGAAUAUUUUGUAUUAGCUAACAUUAUUUCAAUUUAUUUUUCACUUUUUUUGGGUCAAUUUACUGUCGUCAGAUUAAUAUAUUAAAGUAGGUACUUUACUUUCAUUCGCAAGCCCUUUCACAUUUGAAACCCCUUUAUAUUAGUAUGGUUGUUGAACAUUUUGAAAGAUUGACAAUUAUGGGACCAAAGAUUUAUCUCGUUCAUUCACACUCAUUCACAAAAUAGUAGUGGGGCUAGAAUUGUACAGAUUUUGAUUUAAAGAUUCAUUAAAUCUCAUUGCGAAAAUUUUAAUUUCUAUUAAUGGAAGUACGUAGGAUAUGUGUAUAAUUAAACAAAAGUUACUGAAACCUUAUAAAAGGUAAAUCAAAUUUAUUUAAUAUUAUGGUACCACAAAUAUUACGAUUUUUUUUUUCAAGAUAUAUGGUAUGUGAUACGGCUUCUAGUAAAUUAGUUGUUGGAUUAAU